rnacentral:rRNA from 1 species
GACGAACGCUGGCGGCGUGCUUAACACAUGCAAGUCGAACGGAAAGGCCCUGCUUUUGUGGGGUGCUCGAGUGGCGAACGGGUGAGUAACACGUGAGUAACCUGCCCUUGACUUUGGGAUAACUUCAGGAAACUGGGGCUAAUACCGGAUAGGAGCUCCUGCUGCAUGGUGGGGGUUGGAAAGUUUCGGCGGUUGGGGAUGGACUCGCGGCUUAUCAGCUUGUUGGUGGAGUAGUGGCUUACCAAGGCUUUGACGGGUAGCCGGCCUGGGAGGGUGACCGGCGACAUUGGGACUGAGAUACGGCCCAGACUCGUACGUGAGGCAGUAGUGGGGAAUAUUGCACAAUGGGCGGAAGCCUGAUGCAGCAACGCCGCGUGCGGGAUAACGGCCUUCGGGUUGUAAACCGCUGUGGCCUGUGACGAAGCGUGAGUGACGGUAAUGGGUAAAGAAGCACCGGCUAACUACGUG